CCUACGGGUGGCAGCAGUGAGGAAUAUUGGUCAAUGGGCUUAAGCCUGAACCAGCCAAGUCGCGUGAGGGAAGACUGCCCUACGGGUUGUAAACCUCUUUUGUCAGGGAGCAAUUGGGGCUACGAGUAGCGUUAUCGGGAGUACCUGAAGAAAAAGCAUCGGCUAACUCCGUGCCAGCAGCGGCGGUAUUACGGAGGAUGCGAGCGUUAUCCGGAUUUUUUGGGUUUAAAGGGUGCGUAGGCGGAAUGUCAAGUCAGCGGUAAAAGCGCGGGGCUCAACCUCGCUACGCCGUUGAAACUGGCGGUCUGGAGUGGGCGAGAAGUACGCGGAAUGCGCGGUGUAGCGGUGAAAUGCAUAGAUAUCGCGCAGAACUCCGAUUGCGAAGGCAGCAUACCGGCGCCCAACUGACGCUGAAGCACGAAAGCGUGGGUAUCGAACAGGAUUAGAUACCCGGGUAGUC
rnacentral:rRNA from 1 species